AUGCUAAGAAAUGCAAAUGUGCUAGCUUUAGCACCACUUAUUACACAAUCUAGCCAGGGUGGCUCAGUCAUAGUUGAUCCUUUAUUUUUCAGAUUUGAUAUAGAGCAACUGGGUGGAAAUCAUUUGGUAAUGAAGCAACCAGCAUACGACGGAAGGACAUCACCUAGAUCAAACAGGACAGCACGAUACAUGCCAAUUUGGAUCAAGACGUCAAGAAAAUUGAAAGAAACAUUGCAGGGUUGUAACAAGAAUUCUGAUUCCAUCAGUCACGGCAAUCAGAGUUUUGACACCAAGAAACGAAACAGAAUUAGAUCAAACAUCCCAAAAUUGUGCCCCCGAUCGCAUCCUGCCAGAGAUCUCGCAGGGAGAAUUCCGCCUUUGAUCCCACCGGUUCCACGCCCAAUUCCGAUCGACAUUCAAAGACCGGCGUCGGAUCAACUAAAUCCCGAGGGAAUCGAUCCCGAUCGCAAGACCAAAAUUCUACUUCAUCACCCCGACAUCAGCCCCCUCCGCGCCUCCCUCCCUCCCCGAGAGAACCGCGGAUUAGAAGCAGGGAUCGGGACAUUUACCGUUCCCGGCCUGGUAGCCGCCGCGGUGGCGCGAGUUGGGCUCGCGCUGGCCGUGGAGGCCGGGCGGCGGGGCGGGCUGCGGGUGCCCGACGGGCGGGCGCGGGGGCGGGUAGCUGGGCGGACCAUGGAACGUCCCGUACUCCCCUACGCCGCCGGCGGCGGCAGCCUUGGCCUUCUCAACCUCGUUCCCGCUCAUCUCUCCUCCUGCCUCGCCCCACUCCGCUCGUAUCUGCUCACUCCGCUCGUAUCAACAGUUACGGGUCAAGGAGGAGGAGGAAGAUUGGCGCGCUGUGGUCCGUCUGAUGGAAACGUGGACGCGUGCGAUCGACGGAGAGAAAAGAUUGGUUUCGGUUUGUCGCGACAAGGAACAGUGCGUUGCUUGAUCCGCGGUCGAUCGGAAGUUUAA
rnacentral:rRNA from 1 species